rnacentral:rRNA from 1 species
CUAGCGGCAGGCUUACACAUGCAAUGUCGAGGGGUAUAGAGUGCUUGCACUUUAGAGACCGGCGCACGGGUGCGUAACGCGUAUGCAAUCUACCUUGUACAGGGGAAUAGCCCAGGGAAACUUGGAUUAAUGCCCCAUAGUAUUAUUGAAUAGCAUUAUUUAAUAAUUAAAGAUUUAUCGGUACAAGAUGAGCAUGCGUCCCAUUAGCUAGUUGGUAUGGUAACGGCAUACCAAGGCUACGAUGGGUAGGGGCCCUGAGAGGGGGAUCCCCCACACUGGUACUGAGACACGGACCAGACUCCUACGGGAGGCAGCAGUGAGGAAUAUUGGACAAUGGGCGGAAGCCUGAUCCAGCCAUGCCGCGUGCAGGAAGACGGCCCUAUGGGUUGUAAACUGCUUUUGUACGGGAAGAAACACCCCCACGUGUGGGGGCUUGACGGUACCGUAAGAAUAAGCAUCGGCUAACUCCGUGCCAGCAGCCGCGGUAAUACGGAGGAUGCAAGCGUUAUCCGGAAUCAUUGGGUUUAAAGGGUCCGUAGGCGGACAAUUAAGUCAGGGGUGAAAGUCUGCAGCUCAACUGUAGAACUGCCUUUGAUACUGGUUGUCUUGAAUCGUUGUGAAGUGGUUAGAAUAAGUAGUGUAGCGGUGAAAUGCAUAGAUAUUACUUAGAAUACCGAUUGCGAAGGCAGAUCACUAACAAC